CCCUGGAUAGCUCAAUUGGUAGAGCGCUCCACCUGUAAUGGAGAGGUCCCAGGUUCGAUACCCGGACCAGGUG
rnacentral:tRNA from 1 species